rnacentral:tRNA from 3 species
GCGCUUGUAGCUCAGCUGGAUAGAGCAACCGCCUCCUAAGCGGUAGGUCGCCGGUUCGAAUCCGGCCUUGCGCACCA